AAAAAUAACGAUACGGGACUCUAUUGAGGCCCCGUAAUCGGAAUGAGUACACUUUAAAUCCUUUAACAAGGAUCCAUUGGAGGGCAAGUCUGGUGCCAGCAGCCGCGGUAAUUCCAGCUCCAAUAGCGUAUAUUAAAGUUGUUGCGGUUAAAAAGCUCGUAGUUGGUUCUGCGUGCCGCGCUGUCGGUUCGCCGCCUGUCGGUGUAACUGGCAUGUCGCGGCAUGUCCUGUCGGUGGUGAACGGAGUCCACAAUGCUACAUAGGCUUUAUAGCCGAUGUUAGCGUCGUGUGUACUUCCGUUGGCCGAUCUCUCCUACUUCGGUGCUCUUAAACGAGUGUCGAGGUAGGCCGACACGUUCACUUUGAACAAAUUAGAGUGCUUAAAGCAGGCUGAAAUAUCUGCCUGAAUAGUGGUGCAUGGAAUGAUAAAACAGGACCUCGGUUCUAUUUUGUUGGUUUUAGGAAUAUGAGGUAAUGAUCAAUGUGGACUGGCGGGGGCAUUCGUAUUGCGACGUUAGAGGUGAAAUUCUUGGAUCGUCGCAAGACGCACUAGAGCGAAAGCAUUUGCCAAGUAUGUCUUAAUUGAUCAAGAACGAAAGUUAGAGGUUCGAAGGCGAUCAGAUACCGCCCUAGUUCUAACCAUAAACGAUGCCAGCCAGCGAUCCGCCGAUGUUCCUUUAAUGACUCGGCGGGGAGCUUCCACCCGGGAAACCAAAGCUUUUGGGUUCCGGGGGAAGUAUGGUUGCAAAGCUGAAA
rnacentral:rRNA from 1 species